GUUUACAGAGCUCAGUCAGAGUCUCCUGCCAGUUCAAAAAAAAAAAAAAGUGAGUUGCCUAAUUUUAUUAAUUAUGCUACUGUAAGUCUGUGGCCUCAGAAGACCCAGCAAGUUGUGGGGCAACACACCACAUAUGGAGGCUUUGCACAUUCUUCCCAGAGUAAAACACAAGGUCCAGAUUUGUGCCCAAGACACUUGGAUGAAACGUGC